rnacentral:rRNA from 1 species
CCUACGGGGGGCUGCAGUAGGGAAUAUUGGACAAUGGAGGAAACUCUGAUCCAGCCAUGCCGCGUGAUAGAUGAAGGCCCUCUGGGUUGUAAAUAUCUUUUAUCUGGGAAGAAACAAUCUUAUUCUUAAGAUCUUGACGGUACCAGAGGAAUAAGCACCGGCUAACUCCGUGCCAGCAGCCGCGGUAAUACGGAGGGUGCAAGCGUUAUCCGGAUUCACUGGGUGUAAGGGGUCUGUUGACGGGCUGGUAAAAGUUACGAGCUUAACUUGGAAACGGCCAUUGAUACUGCCAGUCUUGAAUGUCGUAGAGGUAAGCGGAAUGUUGCAUGUAGCGGUGAAAUGCUUAGAUAUGUUACAGAACACCAAUUGCGAAGGCAGCUUACUAUGCGAUGAUUGACGCUGAGGCACGAAAGCGUGGGGAGCAAACAGGAUUAGAUACCCGAGUAGUC